rnacentral:misc_RNA from 1 species
CAAGACCUUGUACCUGGUUGCAGCAAGGUUACGGGCAAGGCAGUUAUGCUAGAUGAAAUUAUCAACUAUGUGCAAUCAUUGCAACGGCAGGGUGAGUUUUUAUCAAUGAAAAUAGCAAAAGUGAAUCCAUUGGAUUUCAACACGGAAGGGUUGCUUGCAAAAGAUAUCCUGCAUUCAAGGGCGGUUUCAUCAUCUACUCUGGCAUUUUCAGCAGAGGUGCCCAUGGUUUAUCCCCCAUUUAAUGCAUCUCAACCAGGAUUUAUUCAAGCUUCUUUUCCUGGCAUGGAGAGCCAUUCUG